AACAAACGCUGGCGGCGUGCCUAAUACAUGCAAGUCGAACGGGGUAGCAAUACCUAGUGGCGCACGGGUGAGGAACGCGUGGAUAAUCUGCCUUAGAGUGGGGGAUAACUAGUCGAAAGAUUAGCUAAUACCGCAUAAGACCACAGGAGCUGCGGCUCUAGGGGUCAAAGGUUUUUCGCUCUAAGAUGAGUCCGCGUAAGAUUAGCUAGUUGGUGAGGUAACGGCUCACCAAGGCGACGAUCUUUAACUGGUCUGAGAGGAUGAUCAGUCACACUGGAACUGAGACACGGUCCAGACUCCUACGGGAGGCAGCAGUAGGGAAUAUUGCACAAUGGAGGAAACUCUGAUGCAGCGACGCCGCGUGAGUGAUGGAGGCCUUCGGGUCGUAAAGCUCUGUCGCAAGGGAAUAACACAAUGAAUGUACCUUGCAAGAAAGGAUCGGCUAACUUCGUGCCAGCCGCCGCGGUAACAC
rnacentral:rRNA from 1 species